rnacentral:piRNA from 1 species
UAAGGCAAUUAAGAGGUUACUGUUGGC